AGCCAAUCGAAACCGACCCAGCGGAUGUCGGGUCGGGUUCCGGAGAUUACGGUUUGGCGCACGAGGCUGACUCUGUGAUCGCCGAGCAUGGCAGUGUCAGGAAUGAGAGUAUUGGUGGGAGUGAUACUGAUGAUGAUGAUUGGGAAGGGGUGGAGAGCACCGAAUUGGAUGAGUUGUUCAGCGCCGCCACUGCUUUUGUGGCCGCUUCUGCAGCUGACCGGGUUUCACCCAAGGUAUCCAACGAACUACAGUUGCAGCUCUACGGAUACUACAAAAUCGCCACCGA
rnacentral:misc_RNA from 1 species